rnacentral:rRNA from 1 species
AUUGAACGCUGGCGGCAUGCCUUACACAUGCAAGUCGAACGGCAGCACGGGUGCUUGCACCUGGUGGCGAGUGGCGAACGGGUGAGUAAUACAUCGGAACGUACCUUAUCGUGGGGGAUAACGCAGCGAAAGUUGCGCUAAUACCGCAUACGCCCUGAGGGGGAAAGCGGGGGACCGUAAGGCCUCGCGCGAUUAGAGCGGCCGAUGUCUGAUUAGCUUGUUGGUGAGGUAAAAGCUCACCAAGGCGAUGAUCAGUAGCUGGUCUGAGAGGAGGAUCAGCCACACUGGGACUGAGACACGGCCCAGACUCCUACGGGAGGUAGCAGUGGGGAAUUUUGGACAAUGGGGGCAACCCUGAUCCAGCAAUGCCGCGUGAGUGAAGAAGGCCUUCGGGUUGUAAAGCUCUUUUGUCAGGGAAGAAACAGCAGCUCUAACACAGUCUGCGAAUGACGGUACCUGAAGAAUAAGCACCGGCUAACUACGUGCCAGCAGCCGCCGUAA